UACACAUAAACUAAAAGUCUAUAACUAUAAGGGCACCACAUAUACACACACACACACACACACACACACUCA